GGCGACUAAAAACUGCAUCAAAUGAUUUAAAAUCAUUGAUUUUCCUCAUUACGCCUCUAAUUUUAUAUUGUGAUUAACGUUUAUAAAUUGUUUUUAUUAAGUGAUUGUUCAAUCUGUUUAAUCUUGUUUCAGCUAACUUUCUGUUUAAUCUACAUGUAUAAUUUAUCGUAUUCAGUCAUGAUCGCAGCCUGUUGUUGCUUUAAAAUGUGAACUCAAUCCAAGCAAUCUGGUUAAGUCUAUAUUCAAAUUAUCCUGGUAAUUUAUCAAAUUAGAGUUACCAGAGUUUAAGUCGAUGAAAAUUGAAUUUUUUAUCUAUUCAACCUAAUCUAACCCAUUAUGUUUCGUAUACAAUAGCUUAAUUUAAAUUCUUUUCAUUAAUCAAAAUCAUGAUUGAUUCUCCAAUUAUUAAGAUUUUCAAUUGUUAUCGGUCUGUAUUCAUCUUACCUCUUCAUCAGGAGUUGAAGCCAAUUCUGAAUCAUGUUCCUCCAAUUUAUUCAACAACUUAUCCUGUAAUCAAAAAAGAAACAAGAAAGAUGGACAAAAAAACCUGGCCAUAAAUGACCAAUAAGCCAACCAAGUUUCAUCAAUUUGAACAAAGUAUUGAUUGAGAAAAGGAUUGGACUAAACUGGAUUGCCUUUACCAGCUUCAUCUUGCGUGUUAUUUUCAAGUCAACCUGUCAACCCAAAGCCUUUUAUAUCCAUUUUUGAUUGAGCCUUGGUCAAUGAACAAAAGUUGGACAAAGAAAUGCAAAAAAAUUUGAUUUCGAGUUAAGAUGUGGGUUUUGUUGGUAGGGCAGGUAAACCGAGCCCAUUAGUGCUAUUAAAAAAUCUAUCCAAUGGACAGAACUCACAACUCGAAAUCAAAAUUUUUUCCGCUUUAAAGUACUUCUGUAAAUGUCAAUCGCAUCAAGUAUUAGAUAGAGUCAAGUUGAAAGCAAAGUAAAUAUAAUUAUCGUUAUACCUAUCGAUGGCUUCUCAAUUGUAUUUGUCCACUUUCAUUGAGAUUCAUCCUUAUUCAACCUACUUUGGUCUGAUCAAAUUACUCCACUUAAUCCUGGAUUACAAUUAAAUGAAAUUGUUUUCAAAGUUA